GAUCCUGGCUCAGAUUGAACGCUGGCGGCAUGCCUUACACAUGCAAGUCGAACGGUAACAGGUCUUUCGGGAUGCUGACGAGUGGCGAACGGGUGAGUAAUACAUCGGAACGUGCCUAGUAGUGGGGGAUAACUACUCGAAAGAGUGGCUAAUACCGCAUGAGAUCUAUGGAUGAAAGCAGGGGACCUUCGGGCCUUGUGCUACUAGAGCGGCCGAUGGCAGAUUAGGUAGUUGGUGGGAUAAAAGCUUACCAAGCCUACGAUCUGUAGCUGGUCUGAGAGGACGAUCAGCCACACUGGGACUGAGACACGGCCCAGACUCCUACGGGAGGCAGCAGUGGGGAAUUUUGGACAAUGGGGGAAACCCUGAUCCAGCAAUGCCGCGUGCAGGAUGAAGGCCUUCGGGUUGUAAACUGCUUUUGUACGGAAC
rnacentral:rRNA from 1 species